UACGUAGGUGGCAAGCGUUGUCCGGAAUUAUUGGGCGUAAAGCGCGCGCAGGCGGUCCCUUAAGUCUGAUGUGAAAGCCCACGGCUCAACCGUGGAGGGUCAUUGGAAACUGGGGGACUUGAGUACAGAAGAGGAAAGCGGAAUUCCACGUGUAGCGGUGAAAUGCGUAGAGAUGUGGAGGAACACCAGUGGCGAAGGCGGCUUUCUGGACCGAGAUUGACACUGAUGAGCGAAAGCUAGGGGAGCAAACGGG
rnacentral:rRNA from 1 species